rnacentral:rRNA from 1 species
UACGGAGGAUGCAAGCGUUAUCCGGAAUGAUUGGGCGUAAAGCGUCCGCAGGUGGCUAUGUAAGUCUGCUGUUAAAGAGUUUGGCUUAACCAAAUAAGAGCAGUGGAAACUACAUAGCUAGAGUGCGUUCGGGGCAGAGGGAAUUCCUGGUGUAGCGGUGAAAUGCGUAGAGAUCAGGAAGAACACCGGUGGCGAAAGCGCUCUGCUAGGCCGCAACUGACACUGAGGGGCGAAAGCUAGGGGAG